rnacentral:rRNA from 1 species
UACGUAGGGACCAAGCGUUGUUCGGAUUUACUGGGCGUAAAGGGCGCGUAGGCGGUGCGGUAAGUCACUUGUGAAAUCUCCGAGCUUAACUCGGAACGGCCAAGUGAUACUGCAGUACUAGAGUGCGGAAGGGGCAAUCGGAAUUCUUGGUGUAGCGGUGAAAUGCGUAGAUAUCAAGAGGAACACCUGAGGUGAAGACGGGUUUGCUGGGCCGACACUGACGCUGAUGCGCGAAAGCCAGGGGAGCAAACGGG